GACGAACGCUGGCGGCGUGCCUAAUACAUGCAAGUAUGACGCAGUUGGGAACGGGUGAGUAACGCGUAGGUCAAUGCCUAUUAGAGGGGGAUAAAUAUUGGAAACGAUAACUAAUACACCAUACCAGUAAAAGGACCUGCGUUGUAUUAGCUAGUAGGUAGGGUAAUGGCCUACCUAGUCGACGAUACAUAGCCGACGUGAGAGGGUGAUCAGCGAUACGGGGACUUAGACACGGCCCAGACUCCUACGGGAGGCAGCAGUAGGGAAUCGUCGUCAAUGGGGGGAACCCUGACCGAGCAACGCCGCGUGAGUGAAGAAGGGUUUCGGAUUGUAAAGCUCUGUUGUUAGAGAAGCGGUAUCUAACCAAAAAGCCACGGCUAACUACGUGCCAGCCGCCGCGGUAAUUC
rnacentral:rRNA from 1 species